rnacentral:rRNA from 1 species
GACGAACGCUGGCGGCGUGCUUAACACAUGCAAGUCGAACGCUGAAGCUCAGCUUUUGUUGGGUGGAUGAGUGGCGAACGGGUGAGUAACACGUGAGUAACCUGCCUCCUUCUUUGGGAUAACGCCCGGAAACGGGUGCUAAUACUGGAUAUUCACUGGUCUUCGCAUGGGGGUUGGUGGAAAGGGUUUUUCUGGUGGGGGAUGGGCUCGCGGCCUAUCAGCUUGUUGGUGGGGUGAUGGCCUACCAAGGCUUUGACGGGUAGCCGGCCUGAGAGGGUGACCGGUCACAUUGGGACUGAGAUACGGCCCAGAGUCCGACGGGAGGCAGCAGUGGGGAAUAUGGCACAAUGGGCGCAAGCCUGAUGCAGCGACGCCGCGUGAGGGAUGGAGGCCUUCGGGUUGUGAACCUCUUUCGCUCAUGGUCAAGCCGCAACAAUGGUUGUGGUGAGGGUAGUGGGUAAAGAAGCGCCGGCUAACUACGUG